rnacentral:lncRNA from 1 species
UGGUUAGAUUGUUUAAAUCAAACUGUUUAAAGAGAAGCUCAAAGAAAUGUAAGCAAGAUUUCUUUUGUGGUUUAAAAUAAUGCCCUCUGCUGAAAUAUAAUGGUACUUGAAAUCAGAAGAGUAAGGAAUGUGAUCACCCAAUAGACCUUGGCAACAGCUCCCACUUGGGUAAGUAUAGUUUUUGGCUAUGUUGUUGAAAUUUGUUUUUAUUUAGUUUCUGAAAUCCAUCUAUACAAAAGUGAGAUGACUCUUUCUAGGAAUGCAUUUAAUACUUUGAAAAAAGAAAUGGACUCUCCCCAAUACAUUCAGAUUUAUUUUAUACUUCUUUCUAUAUUCCUCCCUUCUCUAGAACUCCUGCCCAAACUACUAUACACUAUGAAAUUAAAGAAUAUACUGUUAUAUCCUUUUAAAAU